GUCCACGCCCUAAACGAUGUCGACUGGUUGUUGGGGUUUGACACUCUCAGUAACGAAGCUAACGCGUGAAGUCGACCGCCUGGGGAGUACGGCCGCAAGGUUAAAACUCAAAGGAAUUGACGGGGACCCGCACAAGCGGUGGAUUAUGUGGAUUAAUUCGAUGCAACGCGAAAACCUUACCUACCCUUGACAUGUCCGAGAGCCUGGAGAGAUCCAGGUGUGCCCGAAAGGGAAUCGGAACACAGGUGCUGCAUGGCUGUCGU
rnacentral:rRNA from 1 species